UCCUCUUUAGUUCAUGCGUUCACAAGGCCUCACUCCUCCCCCUCCUUUUCCUUUCCUGGUUCUCCCUGUGUGAUUUCACAAUUUGAUCGACGAUCUUGUUUUAAAAGGGGUGGAUUUACCGACAUGAUGCCCAACUCAAUUUUCCAAUGUAACCUUUUUUUCUGGACGAUUCUCUCAUAUCAGUUUAAUUUUACCAGUCCUUCCAGCAAACAUCAAUAGUAGUUGUUGUAAACGGUGGGAGGAAGAUUGGAUCUGACUUCAUUCUUUACGUAAUUCUACUAGUCCAUCUUACCAUAUUUCAAUAGGCAAUUCAAUCAAGCUAAGAAAGUUUCAAUACUAGUGUUUCUAUCGGUAUCAUUAGGCUACAGAUUUCUAGUGUUUCUAUCAAUAUCAUCGGGAUACACUAUGACAUGACUGCAUCAUCGUGAGAGUGUUUCCUUCACGAAAAUGACAAUUUUCAUGAGAGUUGUUAAUUACUCUCACGAAAAUAGCAUGCCCCUCACGAAAUCUCCGUUUUCUGGUAGUGAUAGGCGAUCCGGAUCAAUCCUCACAAGCAUGUUAGAUUAUGCGUGCAUGUAAUUUGCUUAUUUUUUUGUCACUUUUUGAACCACUCCGUGUACAGUUAGUUAUUAAGCACUAGAACAUCAACCUUCAAGGCUUCAAUAAUGUGCAUACGUCAAAGUCAACAUAUCAUUUAGGCAGCUUGAUUGACAUGAUUAACUAGAGCUGGUCGUGUUUAAAUACAGGAACACAUACUGCAUUUAACUUGUAACAAUCUUGAUCGAUCCACAUUUUUCAGUAUAUAAACGGACGCCUUUUGUGUGCACAGGUUGAGGGGGGUGCAGUAGCUGGCAAGAUGAACCCUGGCAAGAAGAAGUGGCUCCCAUACUACUGGCUCCUCGUCGCUGCUGCUUCUGUGAUUGUUCUCAACAACCACAUCCACGCUGCCCCAAAGGACCAGCUGUUCCCUCCAGAGCUUGCCAUGUUCACUGUGCUCCUGUGUGCAAUCUGCCUCAUUCUUCUCUCCAUGAAGCAGAUGAUGUGAGAGUGCAUUGAGCGCGUUCAUGCCUAGCUAGCUUACCUUCCGAUCCAGAGACCCUACUCUUAGUAUCCGUGCUGCAACAUGCAUGGUAGAACGGUUUCAGCUUACAUGUGCCUGAACAAAGCUGUAUGUGUGUAAUAAUUCCAGGAUAUGUUGGACUACUGAAUGCCGAGGAGCACCUGGGGCUCAAUCUUUUUGUUGUGAAUUUGCGCGUACCUUUCCGACAUGCGGUUUACUGUUUGGCAAGAUUGUGAUUACUCUUAACUAUGUUUGACCUAUGUUUCA